rnacentral:rRNA from 1 species
AUGCCGCCGGACGGAAUCGUCGAGGAUAUUUACCUCCGCCUCCGCCGGACGAGCCCGCGUGCCUCGUUCGCGCCUCCCUCGCCAGCAAGCUCUGGCUCGGCCAUCUCACCGGCCCUCGCUUCCGCGAGCUCCAUGGAGCGCCCCCCAUGCUGGGCUUCCUUUACGAUUGGUUCUGGGACUACAUGCCGGAGGAGAAAGACGCCGUCCCGCGCUUCGUCCCCGACCACCACUGGGGGGAGGGGACUCGGGCUCGGACUACAACGCGUUGGACUGCCGCCAUGGCCGCGUUCUCCUGGGGAUUAUGGCGCGCCCAUGCCGCUCGUCGUCUGGGACCCCAACCAAGAUGGAAGGGCCCAAAGGACAGGAUAUCGGUGUCAUGAGGGCGCCUUCAGGGUCGUCGUCUUCGCCCAACACGGGUGA